rnacentral:tRNA from 1 species
CGGCCGCGUGGCGGGAGGCAUGGCGGUGUGGUGGUCAGCCAAGGCGGCUGAAGGCCCAGCGCAGCAGUUCCUGAUCCACACGGGGGCGGCCGG